rnacentral:rRNA from 1 species
UAAGGAAUAUUGGACAAUGGGCGAAAGCCUGAUCCAGCCAUGCCGCGUGAGUGAUGAAGGCCUUAGGGUUGUAAAGCUCUUUUAGAUGGGAAGAUAAUGACUGUACCAUCAGAAUAAGCCCCGGCUAAAUUCGUGCCAGCAGCCGCGGUAAUACGAAUGGGGCAAGCGUUGUUCGGAAUCACUGGGCGUAAAGCGUGUGUAGGCGGUCUAUCAAGUCAGAAGUGAAAUCCCAGGGCUUAACCCUGGAAUUGCUUUUGAAACUGAUAGGCUGGAGUCCCGGAGAGGUUAGCAGAAUUCCGAGUGUAGAGGUGAAAUUCGCAGAUAUUCGGAGGAAUACCAGUGGCGUAAGCGGCUAACUGGACGGGCACUGACGCUGAGACACGAAAGCGUGGGGAUCAAA